GUGAGAAAUAAAUUUCUGUGGUUUAUAAGCCACCCAGUCUAUGGGAUUCUGUUAUAGUAGCCUGAAUGGGCUAAGACAAUGCCCCGUGUAUAGUGGGCACUUAAGUAUUUUGAUUGAACAAAUGAACAAAUUUAGAUUUGCCAAUGUCAAAUAAAUAGUCAAUGAAAACUCAAUACAUAUUUUUUCAUUGGCUGAUUAGCAAAUGGGAUAUUUUGGAAAUAAAGUGAUCAUAUUAUUCUUGCCCUUUAAACGAUCACAUUAUUUCCACAGAUCAUGAUCUAGGCAUGGGUGUUAUGCGAAACAGGUAUAAAUUCUCAUUUAAAAAAUAAAACAGCGCUGGCCCUGUGGAGCAGCGGUUCUGCUUCUCGGCGCCCGGGGGUUCACCAGUUCGGAUUGCAGGUGUGGACACGGCACCGCUUGGCACGCCAUGCUGUGAGAGUGAUGCCUGGCCCUCUGCCCGAUGCCACCAGGAAUGAGCAUGGCCCCAGGGAGUACUGCCAAGUCGUGUCGGCGAGCUGCCUUCUGGGAGCCAAGUGGCCACCAGACAAAUGCACUGAUCUGCUUGCUCAGAGCGCUGUCAGGGGGACACAGUGGCUUAACUACCUCACUGCUUUAUGUGGCUGUCAGCUCUGCAUCUCCGUUCUGUGUUUUAAGCCAUUUUGUUUACAC
rnacentral:lncRNA from 1 species